rnacentral:rRNA from 1 species
GAGUCGAGAGGGUUCGGCCCUCGGCGUACUGCUCAGUAACACGUGGAUAACCUACCCUGGGAUGGGGGAUAAUCUCGGAAAACUGAGGAUAAUACCCCAUAGGUCUGGGAGGCUGGAAUGCGCCCAGACUAAAAACUCCGGUGUCCCAGGAUGGGUCUGCGGCCUAUCAGGUUGUAGUGGGUGUAAAGGACCCACUAGCCGACGACGGGUACGGGCCAUGGGAGUGGUAGCCCGGAGAUGGAUUCUGAGACACGAAUCCAGGCCCUACGGGGCGCAGCAGGCGCGAAAACUUCGCAAUGCGCGAAAGCGCGACGAGGGGAUUCCAAGUGCAUGCACUCAGUGCAUGCUGUUUUCCAGUGUAAACAGCUGGGAGAGUAAGGGCUGGGUAAGACUGGUGCCAGCCGCCGCGGUAAUACCAGCGGCCCUAGUGGUGAUCGUUAUUAUUGGGCCUAAAGCGUCCGUAGCCGGC